ensembl:lncRNA
UUGCGGAUGGAUUUUGGUGCUUUGAAAGCGAACGGAACGUUUGCGAUCUGAACCUCACAGAUUUAGAAAGGCGAAGCCAGCUAGAGAAACCAAGCGUGAAGAUGUCCAGAAACUGCUGGCACUGUGGAACACUCGGCAGGUGAGUGUACAGGAACAGGUUGUGAGGAACACACUUUGGCUGAUUGGAGAUCAGGCACCGAGCCCCGUCUGAAGAUGGGAUUGGAUGUGACAUACACAAGCUGAUGUAAGAACCAUCUCGUUGGAGAGGAAGGUAGAUGAGAUCAAACAGGACUGAAUUACAAUUAGUCCAUGUGUCUUAGUUCUCAAGAUAGUCAUUGUAUAUUAUAGUUCAACCAUCUCAAACAUUUGCUCCAGCAUAUUUUAAUUCAAGAUAAACUCUGAUUUUGUUUUAACAAUUAUGUGCUGAAAUCAUCAGAAAUAGAUUAGUUAUGACUGUAGUUUGUGAAGCUCCGCCGUUUUCUCCAGCAUAAUUUCAGACUGUAAUCAGCAGUGAAAUUGCUCGUAUCAUGUGGAAUUGUUUUUGUGAAAUAUUUAUGCAGAUUGUCCAAUGCAAUAGUUUGUAGGGCUUGCAGAACAGAGCAAAUCAACAACACAUGAAAAAAAAAAAAAGUUUGGUGAGCGAGUAAAAUAUUUUUGAAAACACGCUCAAACAGUUGAGAUCUCUUUUAAUGGUAUACUCUAAAAAAAAAAAAAAAUACUGGGUUGUUUCAGUCCAACUUUGGGUCAAAUAUCGACUAACCCAACUUUUGGGUUAAAAAUUUUAUUUAACCCAAUGGUUAGUCCAUAUUUGACCCAAAGUUGGGCUGAAACAACCCAGUAUUU